GUUCGUGAGACCAGAACCCGACCACCAGCAUUUCUUCCCACAAUUCCAAAGCAAGAUUGAAAGCAAUCUUUGUCAAAAGCCCCAUCAAAAUUAACUUUGAUGAGUUCACCAUGUGGGGGAAUCCACUGGUCAUUCGCACUUAUUCUGAUUGCCCAUAGUGCUCCUCCGAACAUCCUACUAGUAUGAUGAUUACUCUCCCUAAACACCCAGGGCAAUUUCUAAAAACAUGUCCCAAUUUUCUGUACCCUCCGUACAUCGAGGGCAGACAGUAUUAAUCACCAAGGUUCAGAUUUGUACAUGUAGGGAUACAAUUGUUACCAAUUCUCCAUAUUGUAAUCUUAAUCUUAGUGGGAAGUUUAAGGCUCCAAAGCUUCCUAUAGAAAUGGUCUGUACAUCAUUAAACUUAGGCCCAAAAAUACCUACUCCUAAUAGU